GAGUCCGGCAGGGUGCGAAGGGACGCCGCUCGCCGGGACCAUUGCGCAUGCGCGCGGGGGCCCGUGAGCCCUUGCGAGCAGCCGCACCGGGGACCCCAGGACCCCAGGCCGGGGCUGAGGGCGCUUUCGACCCGCACGGAAUGGAAACGCGCGCGUUCGCUGCGAUUUGACACUUGCUUUGAAGGGAAGACCUUGGUUUUCCUUCCUCGUUCCUAAACCGCCCUGGAUCAAAUUCUUCUGCCGAUCCAUAGACAGGCGACCACAACAAAUAACCAGUUUGCAAGAGCUAUGCUGGGCCUCUGCUGACCUCAUCUCUACCACCUGUUCCUUCCCUCCAGCAAUCAGGAAAACACCCUUUACUUCUUAUGACUGCUGAUUUUCAAAGGAGUUUCCUGCAGAAGAGCUGCAGGGCCCCUAAUGACCCAGUUCUUUUCAUUAUGCCAUAGUCCCUUCUCCCAGAACUCACAAGCACGGUUGAAGUCAGAGGAUGAUCAGGCCCCUGUGGUACCUAAAACGUACCUAGCCUGACUCCCAGCAUCUGCUGCAUAAAGUAUUUCCUGGCUACAAGGAAGGAAGCGGAUGCUGACAAGAUUAAGCAAAAAAGGAGUCUGUUCAAAGAACAUUGGGCUGCUCAUAAAAUUGUUGCAAAGACUGGAGGAAACAAUCUUCGAAGAAAAUCACCCAAAACCAUGCAGCUCAACUGGCCUAAUGAGAAAACUAAGGAUGUUGCCCCAUCACCACUCAGCAACUACCUGCUGCCAGGAGCUCAGUUUGACUGUCACCACUGCUGCCAAAGGCAUCUAGCUUCUUCUGCAUCAGGAACUCAACCUUACAGACCAUCCUGUCCCCCCAACCACAUGGCUCUGCUGCCACCCUCGCCAGCAAGAGGAGUGCAUUAUUCAUCUUUUCCCCCUCCAAGCCCCCUUCCCCACCAGAAUCCCACACAAGUGCAUCUGACUGGAGGAGCGCAAGUCACAUUCCUGUGUUCUUGCUGCAAAAGAGCAGGAGAGGGAAGGAAGAUUCUGUCUUCUAACUUGGUGGAACUUAAAAGGGAAAAUCCUGCUAACAUCAGAAAGGUAUUCAAAAUCAAAAGGACCUUACCUUCCAGCUUUUCCACCAGAGGACGCUGUUCCGGGUCUGCACAUGGUCAUCUUCUUGUAGCUUCACAUGGUGAGGAGAGAGAGGAAGCAAGCCCUAUCUUGUCUCUUCUUAUCUCAGAUGCUUAUGACUGGCUGCCACUGACUGGGAAAGAGAAUCUACACUGGGAAUCGUCUAACAUCAGAGAUUCAGGAGACUGAGAAGUCCAAGACCAAGGUGCUGGCUGACUUUGCUCAUAGUGAAGACCCUGUUCCUGGUCUGCACAUGGCCGUCUUCUCCUUGUAGCUUCACAUGGUGAGGAGAGAGAGGAAGCAAGCCCUCUCUUGUCUCUUCUUAUAAAGACGCUCAUCUUAAAGAAGAUGUGGUGUUACUCGGCAAUCAAAAAGAAUGAAA